GACAGAGGGGGCAAGCGUUGCUCGGAAUUACUGGGCGUAAAGGGCGCGUAGGCGGGAUGGCAAGUCGGUCGUGAAAUCCCUCGGCUCAACCGAGGAACGUCGAUCGAUACUGCUGUUCUUGAGGAUUGCAGAGGAGACUGGAAUUCCCGGUGUAGCGGUGAAAUGUGUAGAGAUCGGGAGGAACACCGGUGGCGAAGGCGGGUCUCUGGGCAAUUCCUGACGCUGAGGCGCGAAAGCCAGGGGAGCGAACGGG
rnacentral:rRNA from 1 species